rnacentral:lncRNA from 1 species
AUCAAUUCUACAAUUUAUUUUAAACAACGUUUUCAAGUAUUUAGUAACCUAUAUCAGAACUGUAUCAAAGUAGCUAACCCAUACAAAAUGGUUUGGCUUGAUUUUAUUAUCAAAUUCAUUUGAAAAACAGGUGUUAGACAAUUACCUAAUUAUCAUCAAAUAUGCAACUUAAUUGAAAACAACCUGACCUACUCUAUUUCCAACUAUACAAGAAAUACACAGUAAUGUGACAUGGAAUCUGGUACCUGUGUUGGGUAAGAUGCGUAUCCA